GACGAACGCUGGCGGCGUGCCUAAUACAUGCAAGUCGACCUUAGUCGCGUACGGGUUAGUAACACGUUUGUCACCUGCCCAUCAGUAGGGGAUAACACUUGGAAACAGGUGCUAAUACCGUAUACUGAUGGAUGGACCCGCGGUGCAUUAGCUAGGUGGGGCGGUAACGGGUCACCAAGGCCACGAUGCAUAGCCGACCUGAGAGGGUGAUCGGCCACAUUGGGACUGAGACACGGACCAAACUCCGACGGGAGGCAGCAGUAGGGAAUUUUGGGCAAUGGGCGAAAGUCUGACCGAGCAACGCCGCGUGAGUGAAGAAGGUUUUCGGGUCGUAAAGCUCUGUUGUUAGAGAAGCGGUAUCUAAAGAAAAAGCAACGGCUAACUACGUGCCAGCAGCCGCGGUAAUAC
rnacentral:rRNA from 1 species